rnacentral:rRNA from 1 species
UAAGGAAUAUUGGUCAAUGGACGCAAGUCUGAACCAGCCAUGCCGCGUGAAGGAUGAAGGUCCUCUGGAUUGUAAACUUCUUUUAUCUGGGACGAAAACGGGAUUUUUAUCUCAAUUGACGGUACCAGAGGAAUAAGCACCGGCUAACUCCGUGCCAGCAGCCGCGGUAAUACGGAGGGUGCGAGCGUUAUCCGGAUUUACUGGGUUUAAAGGGUGCGUAGGUGGGCUUAUAAGUCAGUGGUGAAAUCUCCGAGCUUAACUUGGAAACUGCCGUUGAUACUAUAGGUCUUGAAUUAUCUGGAGGUAAGCGGAAUAUGUCAUGUAGCGGUGAAAUGCUUAGAUAUGACACAGAACACCGAUUGCGAAGGCAGCUUGCUAAGCUGUAACUGACGCUGAGGCACGAAAGCGUGGGGAGCAAACA